rnacentral:tRNA from 1 species
CAGGGAGACAACAAAAUGUUAAAUAUUAAUUUUGUCACUUAGGUCGAUCGGUAUCUCACAUUCUUAAUUUAUUAAGGAUUUUAUUUCCUAAGUUUUUUCUAGGUCACACCCAUUACUUUUCCUGGGCCAUUAGCUCAGGUGGUUAGAGCGCACCCCUGAUAAGGGUGAGGUCCCUGGUUCAAGUCCAGGAUGGCCCAUAUCUCUAUGUUGGGGGUAUAGCUCAGUUGGUAGAGCGCCUGCUUUGCAAGCAGGAUGUCAGCGGUUCGAGUCCGCUUACCUCCACUGAUUACCACCUCUUCCAUAAUUUUUAGAAUGGAAAUGUUUUGAGUUGUGAUCAAAUUCUGAACGAAUCUAGCUUCCUAAUUGUUUAAAUUAAGAUGCUGGACUCAUUGAAUUAAUUUCUUUGUUUUCAGAGAACCUUGACAACUGCAUAGAUUAUUUUUAAGACAAUAAGCAUCUUUAAUGAUGCAGAUUUAUUAUUUAUGUGAAUGCAUUAAUAACAAUUCUAUUAAGCUGAUGCUUCAA